GCCGGUGAUGAUAGUUUAAAAUGGUUAACAGAAAUGUAAAACUUUCACAUGUUUAGAAAAUCAUGAACUGGGAUGGUCUGAGGC